rnacentral:rRNA from 1 species
UACGUAGGGGGCAAGCGUUGUCCGGAAUCAUUGGGCGUAAAGCGCGUGUAGGCGGUCCGGUAAGUCCGCUGUGAAAGUCGGGGGGCUCAACCCUCGGAUGCCGGUGGAUACUGUCGGGCUUGAGUACGGAAGAGGCGAGUGGAAUUCCGUGGUGUAGCGGUGAAAUGCGCAGAUAUCAGGAGGAACACCAAUUGCGAAGGCAGCUCGCUGGGACGUUACUGACGCUGAGACGCGAAAGCGUGGGGAGCAAACAGG